CCCAAUGGAGUUCAAAAUCAAGGUGGACCUAAUUCCUGGGCUUCUAGCGGUGCCUCCGCUUUUGCCAGCAGUAGUGCUGGAAGCUGGUCAGGAAAUCAUCCUAUUAACGUAAAGGGUUAACUAUUUUAAUCUGAAGACAAGUAUAUUAAAAUAUAAUAAAUACAGACAACAAU